rnacentral:antisense_RNA from 1 species
AGGUCUGUCGCGAGCAACCCUACACCAUGCACCAGCGCCACUGCUCCCAGCAGGAGUGGGUUUUGCAGCGGUGGCGGCAGCCCCGCGCCCAGGCCGAGCAGAGUCAGGGCUGCCAGCGCCGUAAGCAGCAAGGGGAAGGGCAGGUUGUAGAGCACCAGGCCCCCGCGAACGCCCAGCCGCGCCUGCGAGCCGUAAGGGUCGUGUGGUUGGCAAGUCAUUUAACUUUUCCAAACAAAUCUGCAAAAUGGAGAUAACCGCACCUGCCUCAUUGCGUUGUGAAGAAGAUGAAAUGUUUAGCCCGGUGCCCAACACCCAGUUCUUACUCUGUCAUCCAGGCUGGUGUGCAGUGGUGCAAUGCGGGCUUACUGCAGCCUUGAUCUCCAGGUCAAGUGAUCUCCCACCUCAGCCUCCGGAAUAGCUGGGACUACAGCUCAACAAUGCCCCUCUGAAAGUAGGACUCUUGGAAAUGAACCUUGUUGGGAGUAAAGCUGAACCUUCACCUCUCCUUUCCAGGAUUCUACUCCAUUCAUAUGGCCUCACACUGAAUUAAUGUUUCUAGCAGCCACAUCACUUUGUUACCCAAUUGAUCUAGUAGUAAAGUCUUCCCAUCUCUU